rnacentral:siRNA from 1 species
GUCGUUUGGUUUCUUCUGUCCC